rnacentral:rRNA from 1 species
UAGAUACCGGGUAGUCCAUGCCGUAAACGUUGGGCGCUAGAUGUGGGGACCAUUCCACGGUUUCCGUGUCGCAGCUAACGCAUUAAGCGCCCCGCCUGGGGAGUACGGCCGCAAGGCUAAAACUCAAAGGAAUUGACGGGGGCCCGCACAAGCGGCGGAGCAUGCGGAUUAAUUCGAUGCAACGCGAAGAACCUUACCAAGGCUUGACAUAUACGAGAACGCUCUAGAAAUAGAGAACUCUUUGGACACUCGUAUACGGGUGGUGCAUGGUUGUCGUCAGCUCGUGUCGUGAGAUGUUGGGUUAAGUCCCGCAACGAGCGCAACCCUCGUUCUAUGUUGCCAGCGGUUUCGGCCGGGAACUCAUAGGAGACUGCCGGGGUCAACUCGGAGGAAGGUGGGGAUGACGUCAAAGUCAUCAUGCCCCUUAUGUCUUGGGCUUCACGCAUGCUACAAUGGCCGGUACAAAGGGCUGCAAUACCGUAAGGUGGAGCGAAUCCCAAAAAGCCGGUCUCAGUUCGGAUUGAGGUCUGCAACUCGA